ensembl:lncRNA
GUUAAACGUGCAAUUGGUGAGUUAAAUGAUUUUAGUCUACUUUCACAGCAACAAGAAGUAAGGUGGAUUGCAGCCUCACCUCCUAAUUAGCUUUAAAUAAUAAAAAAAAAAAAAAUCAAAAGCCCUGUUCUGUAGAUUGUGUGCAUUUGAAAUCCACAUUUCCAUGGGGCUUAUACCCCUUUUUCUUGGAGUGUCUACAGAAAUACCAAAUUCAACUACCAGAAAGCAAUUCAUCCUUUCAGUUUACCUACAGUGAAAUAAGCAUCUAGGGUAGUUUUUAAAACACACUGGCUAAAUGUGGAUUCAGUUGUUUGUUUCAACAUUAGAAAAGCAUUAAUCAGUGAUAUUGCAUUGACUUCCAAAGGUGUGUAUGCUUUGUGUGCUUGCUUAAAUGACUAACUCUCGUUAGUGAUCCCUAUAAAAGAGCAAAGAAGUUGUUUUAGCAACAUGAAGAAGUAAAUAGUUGAGGUUCUAGAAUUUUUAGUGACGAAACAUUAUGAUAACAUCUAAUUGUUCUUUACAGUUGUCCUCCAUGAAAGGCAAGAAUGGAAAUCUUGCAAGAAUAAUACAGAAGACUAAAGUAAUUUUUAUGUUUGAUAUGUUGAAGAACACAAAGGAAGAAGAAAAGACUGGGAAGAAAUUCAAAGAACAAUUCCCUGUGCAAGUAGAAGCACAUGAAAGCUAUUGAACAGCCUGAGAUGAUAAAUAAAUGAAACAGUGAGAAAGUUCAGCUCACUCAGUCUGGCAAGGAAGAAGCUCAGGAGAGAGCUAGGAGCAGCCUGCAGCUGUUGGAAGGGUAGUACAGCUAAAGCAGAGCCAAGCUCUUCUUGGAACUGUCAGAUGAUUGAUAUAACAGAUUAUUAUGUGGGAGACCAGGUUGAUUGUAAUGAAACACCAUGUUCAUGCUGAAAGAGGUUAAAAUUGGAUCAUUUUGGCUAUAAUGGUGGUCAGCUAUCACCUGAGAAGGCUUUGAAAUGUUCACAUUUAAAGCAGGAGGUCAGUCUAGCUGACCACCAGUGGUCCUUUUCAACAACAACUUAAAAGAUGGCAAGAGAAUACAGUUAGCAAAAAUACUGGUAAGCGGAGACAAAUAAUUGACCUGGAAAAUCUGCUGAGAGGUAUCUCUAGUCUAAUGCCAAGUGUCACUGCAUAUUUUUAUUAGCUAAAGUUGCAAUUUAUAGUUAGCAAAUCAGAAUAUGCUUUGAGAAAUAACUUGGCUACUAAACAUGAAUUACUGAUUUUGCUCAACAGAGCCUCCUCUCAGCUGCUGCACUGCCUUGCUUCAGGAAGUCAUAGGACACAUGCACAUAACUUAACAGGUAUUGGUCUUGUAAGAAGGCCAGGAAAUGCAGGGUGGUCCCAGAGGAACUGAUACAGACAACUUAAACUGUGUUUUUUUUUUUCAAAUGUGUCACCCAACUCUGUGGAAAUAGAUUGUUAAUUUAAGUGCUUACCUCCAGGGUCAAAUGUGAUUUUCCAGCACAAUGCCAUAAGUCUGAUGCCUGUAUGGCUAUAGCAAUAGUCUCGUCAGAUCGAAUUCUGACACAGAAGAUGGAAUAGAGGAGCUUUUUAAAUACCUCAUCCUAGGUAGAUUUAAGUUAAUCAUCUGUGCAGUUCUGUACUGUCAAGUGGUGAUCUGGGCUAGAGUUCACUAGUUCUAACAUUACAGGCUGCUACUGCUCAACUCAGAGGAAGGAUGAAGAUGACACCUAACUGGAACCAAACUUCUACUGAAGAGAAGAGUUGGCACCACAGGGCAAUUACGAAUGGACACUUUCAUUUGUCACUAUAGACUGGCCAUAUAUAACUCUUCUGAAAUUUUUUUCAAAACUUAACGGUGGUUUUAGGUCAAUGAGUUUUUUGUUUUAAUGGCUAAGUUCUUUUAGAAAUACGUCUGACAAGUAUAGAAGCACCUACAAACCAAUAAGAAGCUAUAGCCACUCUGCAAAACCUACCAGUGCCUAACAGCUGAAGCCGAUUGGAACACAUAACAAGACAUGCAAUGUGCUGGAACCUGCCUAUAUUCAGCUUCAGCUCAGGAAACAAUUACUGUAUCUACAGCCAUAGGCUUCAAUACGCAAUUGUAAUAGUAAUUACUGUACUUUUAUUAUGAAGCACAGCAGAAGAUUCACUUUGAGGAAGUCAAGAGGUAAAAACCUAAAUGUGAUUUAUACUUGACAUCUGUGCUGUGCUCCUUGAGUAUUACUGGGCUUCAAAGCUUAAUUAAAACCUUGUGUUGUGGCUUUAAGAAAACCUGAAUAAUAAAACUGAGUAAGCUGUUUAAAAAUAGCUGCUUGUAACAG